GGGAGGGGAUUAGUGGCGAACGGGUGAGUAACACGUGGGCAAUCUGCCCUGCACUCUGGGACAAGCCCUGGAAACGGGGUCUAAUACCGGAUACGACAUCCUCGGGCAUCCGAUGGAUGUGGAAAGCUCCGGCGGUGCAGGAUGAGCCCGCGGCCUAUCAGCUUGUUGGUGAGGUAACGGCUCACCAAGGCGACGACGGGUAGCCGGCCUGAGAGGGCGACCGGCCACACUGGGACUGAGACACGGCCCAGACUCCUACGGGAGGCAGCAGUGGGGAAUAUUGCACAAUGGGCGCAAGCCUGAUGCAGCGACGCCGCGUGAGGGAUGACGGCCUUCGGGUUGUAAACCUCUUUCAGCAGGGAAGAAGCGCAAGUGACGGUACCUGCAGAAGAAGCGCCGGCUAACUACGUGCCAGCAGCCGCGGUAAUACGUAGGGCGCGAGCGUUGUCCGGAAUUAUUGGGCGUAAAGAGCUCGUAGGCGGCUUGUCGCGUCGGUUGUGAAAGCCCGGGGCUUAACCCCGGGUCUGCAGUCGAUACGGGCAGGCUAGAGUUCGGUAGGGGAGAUCGGAAUUCCUGGUGUAGCGGUGAAAUGCGCAGAUAUCAGGAGGAACACCGGUGGCGAAGGCGGAUCUCUGGGCCGAUACUGACGCUGAGGAGCGAAAGCGUGGGGAGCGAACAGGAUUAGAUACCCUGGUAGUCCACGCCGUAAAACGGUGGGCACUAGGUGUGGGCAACAUUUCCACGUUGUCCGUGCCGCAGCUAACGCAUUAAGUGCCCCGCCUGGGGAGUACGGCCGCAAGGCUAAAAACUCAAAGGAAUUGACGGGGGCCCGCACAAGCGGCGGAGCAUGUGGCUUAAUUCGACGCAACGCGAAGAACCUUACCAAGGCUUGACAUACACCGGAAAGCUCUGGAGACAGAGCCCCCCUUGUGGUCGGUGUACAGGUGGUGCAUGGCUGUCGUCAGCUCGUGUCGUGAGAUGUUGGGUUAAGUCCCGCAACGAGCGCAACCCUUGUCCCGUGUUGCCAGCAGGCCCUUGUGGUGCUGGGGACUCACGGGAGACCGCCGGGGUCAACUCGGAGGAAGGUGGGGACGACGUCAAGUCAUCAUGCCCCUUAUGCCUUGGGCUGCACACGUGCUACAAUGGCCGGUACAAUGAGCUGCGAUACCGCGAGGUGGAGCGAAUCUCAAAAAGCCGGUCUCAGUUCGGAUUGGGGUCUGCAACUCGACCCCAUGAAGUCGGAGUCGCUAGUAAUCGCAGAUCAGCAUUGCUGCGGUGAAUACGUUCCCGGGCCUUGUACACACCGCCCGUCACGUCACGAAAGUCGGUAACA
rnacentral:rRNA from 1 species